UUCGUUCCCUCUUUAAACGCGAUCGUACAGUUCAGAUCAAUUUAUGGUGAACAGUCCAGAUUUAUUUAUUUUUAAAUACGAUCGGAUGAUCGAGAUCAAACGCAAUAGACGACUUAGAUUAAAGGGAGACGUGUAUAAAUAUCUCACUUUACACCGAGGCCUCUUAACAUGUUUUCUCGCAUGAAUGAACAUGAAAUCGGUCGAAAUCAGCCAAAACUAACCGAAAACGGCUAGUUCGAGGUAAAUUGUCACCGCAGGCGGUAGUG
rnacentral:lncRNA from 1 species